GCACCACCAAAAUCUAAGAGAAACAAAACCAAGAAGAAGGAAGCAACAGCUAGGCCUAGUCCAAGUACAUCUAAAAGAAAGAAGGCCAAGAAGAUGAAGGAAGUGAUAACAGAAGUAAUGCCCAGCCCAUGUACACCACUUAGGUUGCAACAUGCACCAGCAACACCAUCAAGCCCAUUUGACCUAAACUGUAGUCCUGGAGCACUAACUCGGAGUCGAGCUAAGAAAAUUGCAAUGGAGGAGGCCGAGGUGCAUGGUAGAAUGGCGCUGGAGCAUCUUAUGCAAUUCUGAUUAUUAUGCUUUUGUGUGCAAGCAAACCGCGUAAAGCCUUUUGAUGCUAAAUUAAUGUAAUUUGAGAUGUUAAGAUUAAGCUUUGUGACAUGAUGGUCACUUGUUCCAUACUAAUUAUUUUGUGACAUGUUACGUGGUGUAAAAAAUUAUUAUGUAUGUGAAUAUAUUGCACUGCAAGGAUGACCAGUGGCCUUGCGUCCCUA